rnacentral:lncRNA from 12 species
GGAGAGGGACCCGCCCGCCAUCCAUCCUUUCUGUCCAGGUGAGACACCGCCUGCCAUCACCUGCCCUGCAAACGCUCUCGAACGUCCUCGGGCAUUUUUAAGUAACUGCCACCGCAAUUUUGCUUUUUAAAUUGGCAAAUAAUCUGAGCAUCGUCGCGUUCUGCAGAGCGCUGACAGCGAAUAGCACAAAGGAGCAGGUUUAACUCGCUCAGUAACCUCGGAAAGCGGUACAGAAACUGCUGCUCGGGCUCCAGCUGUGCCCGCGGACAGAGCACCCUCAGGUGUCCAGCAGGAGCAGAGUGCCUGGCAAUGGACAGAGCUCUGGAGCCU